CUGUUUGCAAUGGCUUUGGUCCCCUCUCUUGUGACACCGGGCAGGUCCUGCUUGUGCUGGGGGACCUCCAGAGCCGCUUCUGAAAAAGCAAGAACAUCCCCCCGAACGAUGAUGGCAGCCUUCCCACAGCCACUCGGUGCAGGCAGCCACCUCUGGGGGUCACCUCUGCGGAGCACAGUCUCACCGUCAAUCCAGUUCCAAGCAGGUGGACUCUCAGUGUCUUGCAAGUGACAGCUAGCAGCAGCAGGUCCAGCCAGGAGGCACAGCACCCUGCAACCUCCAGGGGCCUUUGUGCAACAGCAGAUGUUGAUGCCCUAGAAGCACGGUGCGGAGCACAUCCUGGGAUCAAGGUGCCACGGACUGGAAAAUGCUGCUGUGGCGGAGUUCCUGUGUGAAGACAAAACUCCCAGUCCCCCAGAAAAGUGGAGGCAGAAGAGCAGUGACAAGGCAUUGUGUUUAACUUAAAAAACUUAAAAAAUGAACGGACG
ensembl:lncRNA